GGCUCUCUGUAUCUAUGAGUCUGUUUUUAUUUUGUUUGUUCAUGGCAAUAACCACUCUUCGACUGAAUUUACUGUUUUCACAAAUAGUUGUUUCAUCCCCUUUGCCCCACUUUCCCUCAUCUUUAGCACACUCUUCUAAUUUGUAAAUAUGAAGAAUCUGGUCUUUACCAAAGGACAAAUAAAUUCUUUGUUCUUGCUAAGCCUUUCCCUAUAUGGAGCACUAUACACAAUCUUAUUGUGGGUUUAGGUAAAGGCCUGUUUCUAUGAAUUAAACUUUGAUGGAUUUGUGUGUAGAGACUCUGUAGCUUUGCUGAGAGGGAUUUCAUAGAGAGGGAAUAUCUAAACCUCCUGAAUAUUUUGGCAAUAUGAGAUCUUCCACAACCUCUGCUCAGACUUUUAGCACUUAGUCCCCUUGAUACUAAGAUGACUGUCCAAAUUAUCUUAAAAUAGCAAGUGGGUCUCAAGUCAAGAUAUAGUUUUGAAGUAUUACUACCCUUUGUGACCUCUGUUCCUCCCUCUCUAGAAUAGGUGGUAGGUGGUGAGUGGAUGCAUGUGUAGUGAAAUAUGGGCGGAAGGGGUGGGCUGGCUGGAUGAAUUUCUUACUGUGGGCUGGCCUCACAGCCGUUUUAGUUGUUUUGCUUCUGCCCUCCCAGCCAUCUUUUUACCAAGUCUUUCCCCACUUCUUCACCCUAAACCCCAUAAACCACAACCACAGUCAACUAAUUAAACACACAAAACAAA